rnacentral:tRNA from 1 species
GGGUUGGCUCAGUGGUUAGAGCGUAGGUCUCGUAAACGAAAGGUUGCGGGAUCGAAUCAGAAGUAAAUUUCCA